rnacentral:rRNA from 1 species
CAGUCGCCACGGUAAUACGUAGGUGGCAAGCGUUGUCCGGAAUUAUUGGGCGUAAAGUGUCUGUAGGUGGCUUUUCAAGUCCGCCGUCAAAUCCCAGGGCUCAACCCUGGACAGGCGGUGGAAACUACCAAGCUGGAGUAUGGUAGGGGCAGAGGGAAUUUCCGGUGGAGCGGUGAAAUGCGUUGAGAUCGGAAAAAACACCAACGACGAAAGCACUCCGCUGGGCCGACACUGACACUUAGAGACGAAAGCUAGGGGAGCAAAUGGGAUUAGAUACCCCCGUAGUCCCUGUCUCUUAUAC